CCUACGGGAGGCAGCAGUGGGGAAUAUUGCGCAAUGGGGGAAACCCUGAUGCAGCAACGCCGCGUGAGUGAUGACGGCCUUCUGGUUGUAAAGCUCUGUCUUCAGGGACGAUAAUGACGGUACCUGAGGAUGAAGCCACGGCUAACUACGUGCCAGCAGCCGCGGUAAUACGUAGGUGGCGAGCGUUGUCCGGAUUUACUGGGCGUAAAGGGGGCGUAGGCGGACUUUUAAGUGAGAUGUGAAAUACUCGGGCUCAACUUGAGUGCUGCAUUUCAAACUGGAAGUCUAGAGUGCAGGAGAGGAGAAUGGAAUUCCUAGUGUAGCGGUGAAAUGCGUAGAGAGUAGGAAGAACACCAGUGGCGAAGGCGAUUCUCUGGACUGUAACUGACGCUGAGGCUCGAAAGCGUGGGGAGCAAACAGGAUUAGAUACCCCUGUAGUC
rnacentral:rRNA from 1 species